rnacentral:rRNA from 1 species
UAAUAACAUCAUGCCAGUCUGAACAUACCCAAUCUUAUCUGAUUUCAGAGAUCAAGCAGGGUUGGACCUGGCUUGUUCUUAC